rnacentral:lncRNA from 1 species
GAGCAUUUUAACCCUCAGUAGUGAGCACACAGAGAUAUUCCUUCAGCAUACCAUACUGCCAUAGAGUGAUGGAGGAAUGACACCAGUAAUUUGAGACCUCUUCAGUGGCUCUGUGAUACAAAGUUAAAACCAGGUCUGCUGCAGUUUGCGGGAGGUCCACUCCAGACCCUGUUUGCCUGGGUGUCACCAGUGGAGGCUGCAGAACAGAAAGGAUUGCCACCUGCUCCUUCCUCUGGAAGCUUCAUCCCAGAGGGACACUGGCCUGAUGCCAGCCACAGCUCUCCUGUACAAGUGUUUAUUAUAUCCCUCUAUAUGGCCAUGUGUACUCAUCGUUCACCUUCCACUUACAUGUAAAAACAUAUGGUGCACUGAGAGAUCUAAAGUGCUCCAAGACUGCAAUGAAGGAAUAUACCUUCUAUGUGCAUCAGAAGCUGUGCUGUGCACUCAAUCCUGGUAAGGAGGUAUGGCUCCUGGGAGGCACUGGGAGGUAGGUGUGCCUGCAAAACAGACAUGCCCAAGUCCUGCAGGGAAGCUGGCUUUACUUUCUUUUAUACCUAUAUAGCUAGGGCUAGGUUUUCUCUAAGAAAUGUGAAGCGCUUUCAGGGAAUGGACACCUAUGACUGCACAGUGAGCUGCUCCACACACAAAGGCUCUGCGCUGGCUGAAGCAUUGCUUUUCUUACUCUCUGGGAAGAUUACUUUGCCAGCUCAAAUGUUCUUAGGGGACAUGUUGUCCCCAGGACCUAGAAUCCCAGUGCUCUAGGGAAAGAGUUGGAAAUUCCACAGCUUUUUCACUCACCAAUUUCCCCUGAGAAAUUUAGGACAAAGAACUUCCCCGAGCAUUCAAGUUUCUCAUAGUGGGUUCCUAGCUUGUUCCUUCUAGAGCAUUAGUGUGUGCAUCAUAUCUCCAUGCACUCUCCACAUUUUCUUUCUAAAAAUCUGUACAAAUUAUGUUUGUUUACUUGGAAUGUUGGUGUCUACUAAUGGGAAAAGAACUUUCUGGCUGCAUCAAAUUGUUCUUCUUGCCCCUGAAGUCUGAAAAUAAAUUCCUUAAAUUACACAUAAAUAAUUCACAGUAUACAUUUUUUAAAAGCUCAAGGAAAAGCAAUAGUAAACUGAAAUCAGAAUUUAGAGAAACACAGUUAUACAAUAAAAAAUUUUCAAGGAGAUACAUAUUUUUAAAAAAUAAAAGUAAACAAUUAUGGAGAUGAAAAAUGUAUUGGCCAG